CGUGCUUAACACAUGCAAGUCGAACGAUGAACCCGGAGCUUGCUCCGGUGGAUUAGUGGCGCACGGGUGCGUAACACGUGGGAAUCUGCCCUUAGGUACGGAAUAACUCAGGGAAACUUGAGCUAAUACCGUAUGAUGUCUUCGGACCAAAGAUUUAUCGCCUAAGGAUGAGCCCGCGUCGGAUUAGCUAGUUGGUGGGGUAAAGGCCUACCAAGGCGACGAUCCGUAGCUGGUCUGAGAGGAUGAUCAGCCACACUGGGACUGAGACACGGCCCAGACUCCUGCGGGAGGCAGCAGUGGGGAAUAUUGGACAAUGGGCGAAAGCCUGAUCCAGCAAUGCCGCGUGAGUGAAGAAGGCCUUCGGGUUGUAAAGCUCUUUUACCCGGGAAGAUAAUGACUGUACCGGGAGAAUAAGCCCCGGCUAACUCCGUGCCAGCCGCCGCAGUAA
rnacentral:rRNA from 1 species